GGGCCUGUAGCUCAGGUGGUUAGAGCGCACGCCUGAUAAGCGUGAGGUCGUCAGUUCAACUCUGACCAGGCCCA
rnacentral:tRNA from 1 species